GGAAGGGUGGCAGAGCGGUCGAUUGCACCGGUCUUGAAAACCGGCGAUGGGCAACCAUCCGUGGGUUCGAAUCCCACCCCUUCCGCCA
rnacentral:tRNA from 1 species